rnacentral:rRNA from 1 species
AUUGAACGCUGGCGGCAUGCUUUACACAUGCAAGUCGAACGGUAACAGGUUAAGCUGACGAGUGGCGAACGGGUGAGUAAUGCAUCGGAACGUGCCCGAUCGUGGGGGAUAACACUUCGAAAGAAGUGCUAAUACCGCAUACGAUCUGAGGAUGAAAGCGGGGGACCGUAAGGCCUCGCGCGAUCGGAGCGGCCGAUGUCAGAUUAGGUAGUUGGUGGGGUAAAGGCGCACCAAGCCGACGAGCUGUAGCCGGUCUGAGAGGACGACCAGCCACACUGGGACUGAGACACGGCCCAGACUCCUACGGGAGGCAGCAGUGGGGAAUUUUGGACAAUGGGCGCAAGCCUGAUCCAGCAAUGCCGCGUGCAGGAAGAAGGCCUUCGGGUUGUAAACUGCUUUUGUACGGAGCGAAAAGGCUCCCUCUAAUACAGGGGGCUCAUGACGGUACCGUAAGAAUAAGCACCGGCUAACUACGUGCCAGCCGCCGCGGUAA